ensembl:lncRNA
CUCAUGUCCAACAGUAGCACACUGACAGGUCGCCUCCUCAUGUCCAACAGUAGCACACUGACAGGUGGUUCACAUCAGGCCUCCUCAUGUCCAGCAGUAGCACACUGACAGGUCCCCUCCUCAUGUCCAACAGUAGCACACUGACAGGUCCCCUCCUCGUGUCCAACAGUAGCACACUGACAGGUCCCCUCCUCAUGUCCAACAGUAGCACACUGACAGGUCCCCUCAUGUCCAACAGUAGCACACUGACAGGUCCCCUCCUCAUGUCCAACAGUAGCACACUGACAGGUGGUUCAUAUCAGGCCUCCUCAUGUCCAGCAGUAGCACACUGACAGGUCCCCUCCUCAUGUCCAACAGUAGCACACUG